UGCAGUCGGACGGGAUUGAGGAGCUUGCUUCUCAUGAGAGUGGCGCACGGGUGCGUAACACGUAUGUAACCUACCUUGUUCAGGGGGAUAGCCUCUCGAAAGAGAGAUUAACACCGCAUAAAAUCAAUUUAUGGCAUCAUAGAAUGAUCAAAUAUUUAUAGGAACAAGAUGGGCAUGCGGAACAUUAGCUAGUUGGUAAGGUAACGGCUUACCAAGGCUACGAUGUUUAGGGGAUCUGAGAGGAUGACCCCCCACACUGGUACUGAGACACGGACCAGACUCCUACGGGAGGCAGCAGUAAGGAAUAUUGGUCAAUGGACGCAAGUCUGAACCAGCCAUGCCGCGUGCAGGAAGACGGCCCUACGGGUUGUAAACUGCUUUUGUACCGGAAUAAACCUUUUCACGUGUGAGAAGCUGAAUGUACGGUAAGAAUAAGGAUCGGCUAACUCCGUGCCAGCAGCCGCGGUAAUACGGAGGAUCCAAGCGUUAUCCGGAUUUAUUGGGUUUAAAGGGUGCGUAGGUGGCCUAUUAAGUCAGGGGUGAAAGACGGUAGCUUAACUAUCGCAGUGCCUUUGAUACUGAUGGGCUUGAAUACACUUGAGGUAGGCGGAAUGUGACAAGUAGCGGUGAAAUGCAUAGAUAUGUCACAGAACACCAAUUGCGAAGGCAGCUUACUAAAGUGUUAUUGACACUGAGGCACGAAAGCGUGGGGAUCAAACAGGAUUAGAUACCCUGGUAGUCCACGCCCUAAACGAUGAAUACUCGAUGUUGGCGAUAUACGGUCAGCGUCUAAGCGAAAGCGUUAAGUAUUCCACCUGGGGAGUACGCCCGCAAGGGUGAAACUCAAAGGAAUUGACGGGGGCCCGCACAAGC
rnacentral:rRNA from 1 species